UUUCACACUAUAAAGCUAACAAAUGAUUCCUAUUUCUAGAUUCAUAAAAGAAAAAAUAUGGUUAAUGUUUAUAUGUUUUAUGCUAUGAUUAUCUUUUUUUUCAUAUUUAUUUAUGUAACAAAUAGCCACGUUGUGUGCCGAAAUAAUGAGGAUUGUCGAUAUUAUGUGUGUACUGAAAUUGGCGAUAUUGCAGUUUGCGCGUUUUUGGUUUCAGCGCCCGAACUUGUAUGGCCCGAUUUUGGGGUUUGUGCAUGUCGCGGGAGGGAUACAAUACACAAUUAUAGUGGCUUGUGAAUGUAUAUAUACUAGUAUGUUAGCCGGUGCAAUGCACCCUAUUAUUUUCUUUUUUAAUAUUAUUUAAGUGUUUGUUUUAAAAUACUAGUUGAGAAAUUUGAUUUAAAAUUGUACAAUUAAAUUGAGAUAAUUUUUGCAUGAUAUAUGUUUAAUGACGUUACAUGAUAGAGCGAUAUUAAGAGUUUUCAUUC